rnacentral:lncRNA from 1 species
UGCCACUGCGACCGCGGAUACACUGGGCCCGCGUGCGACACGGAGGACUACGACUACUACAGAGGGUAGCAGCCUGACCGCAGCCCAGGGCCCCCGCUCACCCCGGGGGCAGGGCGGCCCUCAGCCAACCUCAGAAAGGACAUUAAGAAAAAACUGUCCUGCGAACCGAGGACAUUUCUUCCUGUAGUGAUAAUGCUGAGUAACGCAUAGGUGUUAUAUAGUGUAUUUACGAUAAACAAAUUUCUUAAGUAUUUUGUACUAAUAAUAAAACGCGGCUCUUUACUUCAUAAUAAAGUAGAUUACAGGAUAUUAGCCACAUUUCUGUAUAUAGUAUUCUCAUAAUGGACGUUCAUGUAUUGUGUUAUUAGCUAUACAACGAAGAAAACCUGUAGUCAUUAUCAAAAAAAUAAAUGUACGAUCAAAUAUAUGAAAA